rnacentral:rRNA from 1 species
UACGGAGGGUGCAAGCGUUAAUCGGAAUUACUGGGCGUAAAGCGCACGUAGGCGGGCAAUUAAGUCGGAUGUGAAAUCCCCGGGCUUAACCUGGGAACUGCAUCCGAUACUGGUUGCCUAGAGUAUGGAAGAGGGAAGCGGAAUUCCAGGUGUAGCGGUGAAAUGCGUAGAUAUCUGGAGGAACAUCAGUGGCGAAGGCGGCUUCCUGGUCCAAUACUGACGCUGAGGUGCGAAAGCGUGGGGAGCAAACAGG